UACGGGGGGGGCAAGCGUUGUUCGGAAUUACUGGGCGUAAAGGGCUCGUAGGCGGCCAACUAAGUCGGACGUGAAAUCCCCAGGCUCAACCUGGGAACUGCGUCCGAUACUGGAUGGCUUGAAUCCGGGAGAGGGAUGCAGAAUUCCACGUGUAGCAGUGAAAUGCGUAGAGAUGUGGAGGAACACCGAUGGCGAAGGCAGCCUCCUGGGCCAGCACUGACGCUCAUGCACGAAAGCGUGGGGAGCAAACAGG
rnacentral:rRNA from 1 species